rnacentral:rRNA from 1 species
AUUGAACGCUGGCGGCAGGCCUAACACAUGCAAGUCGAACGAGUGGCGGACGGGUGAGUAAUGUCUGGGAAACUGCCUGAUGGAGGGGGAUAACUACUGGAAACGUUAGCUAAUACCGCAUACCGUCACAUUUGCCCAGAGGGGAUUAGCUGGUUGGUGGGGUAACGGCUCACCAAGGCGCCGAUCCCUAGCUGGUCUGAGAGGAUGACCAGCCACACUGGAACGGAGAUCCGGUCCAGACGCCUAGGGGAGGCAGCAGUGGGGAAUAGUGCACAAUGGGCGCAAGCCUGAUGCAGCCAUGCCGCGUGUAUGAAGAAGGCCUUCGGGGUGUAAAGUACUUUCAUCGGGGAGGCGUUACCCGCAGAAGAAGCAACGGCUAACUCCGUGCCAGCAGCCGCGGUAAUUC